GGUGAACGCUGGCGGUAGGCCUAACACAUGCAAGUCGAACGGCAGCACAGUAAGAGCUUGCUCUUACGGGUGGCGAGUGGCGGACGGGUGAGGAAUACAUCGGAAUCUACUUUUUCGUGGGGGAUAACGUAGGGAAACUUACGCUAAUACCGCAUACGACCUACGGGUGAAAGCAGGGGAUCUUCGGACCUUGCGCGAUUGAACGAGCCGAUGUCGGAUUAGCUAGUUGGCGGGGUAAAGGCCCACCAAGGCGACGAUCCGUAGCUGGUCUGAGAGGAUGAUCAGCCACACUGGAACUGAGACACGGUCCAGACUCCUACGGGAGGCAGCAGUGGGGAAUAUUGGACAAUGGGCGCAAGCCUGAUCCAGCCAUACCGCGUGGGUGAAGAAGGCCUUCGGGUUGUAAAGCCCUUUUGUUGGGAAAGAAAAGCAGCAGGUUAAUACCCCGCUGUUCUGACGGUACCCAAAGAAUAAGCACCGGCUAACUUCGUG
rnacentral:rRNA from 1 species